rnacentral:rRNA from 1 species
UACGGGGGGGGGCAAGCGUUUGUUCGGAAUUACUGGGCGUAAAGGGCUCGUAGGUGGCCAACUAAGUCAGACGUGAAAUCCCUCGGCUUAACCGGGGAACUGCGUCUGAUACUGGAUGGCUUGAGUUCGGGAGAGGGAUGCGGAAUUCCAGGUGUAGCGGUGAAAUGCGUAGAUAUCUGGAGGAACACCGGUGGCGAAGGCGGCAUCCUGAACCGAUACUGACGCUGAGGAGCGAAAGCCAGGGGAGCAAACGGG